rnacentral:rRNA from 1 species
GAUGAACGCUAGCGGCAGGCUUAAUACAUGCAAGUCGUGGGGCAGCAUGAGUAGCAAUACUUGAUGGCGACCGGCAAACGGGUGAGGAACACGUACACAACCUUCCUUCAAGCGGGGAAUAGCCCAGAGAAAUUUGGAUUAAUACCCCAUAAUAUAUUUGAUAAGGCAUCUUAUUAAUAUUAAAGCUUCGGCACUUGAUGAUGGGUGUGCGGCUGAUUAGAUAGUUGGCGGGUAACGGCCCACCAAGUCUACGAUCAGUAGCUGAUGUGAGAGCAUGAUCAGCCACACGGGCACUGAGACACGGGCCCGACUCCUACGGGAGGCAGCAGUAAGGAAUAUUGGACAAUGGACGAAAGUCUGAUCCAGCCAUGCCGCGUGAAGGAUUAAGGUCCUCUGGAUUGUAAACUUCUUUUAUAUGGGUACCGAAAAAAAGGGGUCCAAUUCUUGUUCACUUGACGGUACAUAUGAAUAAGCACCGGCUAACUCCGUGCC